UUCAGGGAGACUUUGCAGCACCUUCCAGUGCUAAGUGAGGCCUACAGGAAAGACACAGAGGGACUUUUUACAAAAGUAGAGUCAUCACAGUUCAGUUGCCAAUCUCCAGCACCAGGACCUGCUGGCCCCAGCUGCCUUUGAAGUAGCAUCCUUUUCUUCUCACCUCCAUGAAAUCUGGCUGGCAGGAGCUGGAAGAGUGUUGUCAGCAAUGUUACAGGCCAGCUGGACAGUAAAAGAGCUAAGGGUCAGUUCUCCUGCAGCAGCUGAUCCACAGUACCGUCUGAUCAAUAUCAGCAGGAUAUU